rnacentral:rRNA from 1 species
UACGAAGGGGGGCUAGCGUUGCUCGGAAUUACUGGGCGUAAAGGGCGCGUAGGCGGACAUUUUAGUCAGAGGUGAAAGCCCAGGGCUCAACCUUGGAAUUGCCUUUGAUACUGGAGACCUUGAGUCCGGGAGAGGUGAGUGGAAUUGCGAGUGUAGAGGUGAAAUUCGUAGAGAUCGGAAAGAACACCAACGGCGAAAGCACUCUGCUGGGCCGACACUGACACUGAGAGACGAAAGCUAGGGGAGCGAAUGGG